rnacentral:lncRNA from 1 species
UGCUGAUAUAAGGUUGUCCUGAUAUAGGAUUUACCUCUUAUAUUGUAAAGGUUGUCCUAGCAUAAGAUUGAUCAAUUUUGAAAAUUAUUUUUAAAGUAAUUAAAUUAAUCUUUUAGAUCUAAAAAUUAGCAUAUCUGAUAUGUCUUAUUUCAUAUUUAGAUCUAAAAUUAAAAUGAUUAAAAGUUCAUAUCAAACUGGUAUAAGGUUAUUCUAG